rnacentral:rRNA from 1 species
UACGACUACAUAUCAGGCAUAUCAAUAAGCGGAGGAAAAGAAACUAACAAGGAUUCCCUUAGUAACGGCGAGUGAAGCGGGAAGAGCUCAAAUUUGAAAUCUUCAAGGUUCUACCUUGACGAAUUGUAGUUUAAAGAAGUGUUUUCUGUUAGAUGAGUAGCAAAAGUUCCUUGGAAUGGGACAUCAUAGAGGGUGAGAAUCCCGUAUUUGGUUAUUCAUUCUAGCUUUGUGAUACACUUUCAAAGAGUCGGAUUGUUUGGGAAUGCAGUCCAAAAUGGGUGGUAAAUUUCAUCUAAAGCUAAAUAUUGGCGAGAGACCGAUAGCGAACAAGUACCGUGAGGGAAAGAUGAAAAGAACUUUGAAAAGAGAGUUAAACAGUACGUGAAAUUGUCAAAAGGGAGGCGUUUGACUACCAGUGUUGUUUUUCCGAAAAUCAAUUACGAAUGGCUUGAUUUUGUGUUGUAUUGACCUUAUCAGCUUUCUUCACUUUUUUCGAGUCUUUCUUAAUGCACUUUUCGGUUAACAAGUCAACAUCAAUUUCUUUUGUCGUAAAAGAGUAUUCGGAAGGUGGCUUUCUUUUCGGAGAAAGUGUUUAUAGCCCUAUACUUCUACAAUCGGAGAGAUUGAGGUCUGCAGCGUAGAUCCUUCGGGGUUAGAUACACUUGUGCUAAGUUGUAGCUUUUCAUAGACAACUUGUUGACUAUGUUUAGUCAUGCGGCUUACUCGCUUGUGCUAUUUUACCUACGCUUAGGAUGUUGAGUAGCGACAUACGCAC